UUUCCUGGCUCUUCACAAGAUUAAAUUAACUUUCUCCACAGUUCAUCUCCUAACCCUCCUUGGGCAGCAACCCAGAUGGACAGAUCAAAGAUUUGCAGAAAUUCUGGUUCUCAAAGGGUUUUAGAAGCUCCUCGGCAAAGUACAGAAAUCCUGGAAACAGCAGGACGGACCCGUGGAUGAUCUAGUCUCUGCUUGAAUGCGGCCAGGGAUGGGUCUCCAGGGAAAUUCCUCCCUGUGCCGAGCCGACUGAAAUGCACCAGGCAAAGUGGUUUGGGAGACAAAUAUAUGCCGAGUUGAAAACUGUACGCAUUGCUUUAAACACAAAAAAAUCGUAUAUUUGCUUAUUUUGAGAGAGACAGUGAGCAGGGGAGGGGC